CCGUAAAGAAGGCCGGCUUUUCCUAACAAACAUCAUAGCGCGGAAUCGGUCUGGAUCGGAACCCUCCUGGCAGCCACCGGCUCAUCCGCCUAAGCCGCUCGACAACGACAACCAAGCGCUUCCCUCGUAGAAUGUGAAGAGAGUGGGGUUCAGCAAUCCUUGGACAUGUUUUGCUGAGCUGGAUAAUGCUGAGUCGCUGACUGAAGUGGGAGUUUUGUGCUCCUCCGUGAAUGCCCCCGGCCCCGCAUCUUUGAAUUAACCAGGCCCUCCCCACUUUGAUGCCUCUCUCUAUAUAUAAACGAGAUCUCUCAUCCAGUUUCCAAUUUCCAUUCACAAACCGUAUAUAUAUAAACGUUACAUACAAAAAAGGCAAAACCCAUCCAACAUGCCGACCCUCCACGCCCUCCACCCCACCCUCCCCGCCAGCACCCCCGCCAUAAUCAGCGCGCCAAUGCUCGCCAUCGCCUCCCCCAACCUCGCCGUCUCCGUCACCCGCGCCGGCGGCCUCGGCUUCAUCGGCGCUGGCUUCGGCGUCUCCAGUCUCGAAACCCUCCUCUCCCAAGCCGCCGAACUGGUCUCGAAGCCCUGCUCCUCCCCACCCAUCCCCAACUACACCUACAAAAAAGACGACGACGACGACGACGAUACCUCCUCCUCCCCCCUCCCCAUCGGCAUCGGCCUGCUCAACUGGGGCGCAGACCUCGACCUCGCCCUGCCCGUUCUCGCCAAACAACCCCCCGCCGCACUCUGGCUCUUCGCCGCCCGCGACCCAGACCCCGCCUCGACCUUCGCGGCGUGGGCGCGCGAGGUCCGCCGCGCCACGCACAACCGCACCCGCAUCUGGAUCCAGAUCGGCUCCGUCGCUGAGGCGCUAGAAGCGGCCGCGCGCGCGCAGCCGGACGUCCUGGUCGUGCAGGGGAGC
rnacentral:sRNA from 2 species